AUUCAACGCUGGCGGCAUGCCUUACACAUGCAAGUCGAACGGUAACAGGUCUUCGGAUGCUGACGAGUGGCGAACGGGUGAGUAAUACAUCGGAACGUGCCCGAUCGUGGGGGAUAACGAAGCGAAAGCUUUGCUAAUACCGCAUAAGAUCUACGGAUGAAAGCAGGGGACCGCAAGGCCUUGCGCGAACGGAGCGGCCGAUGGCAGAUUAGGUAGUUGGUGGGAUAAAAGCUUACCAAGCCGACGGUCUGUAGCUGGUCUGAGAGGACGACCGGCCACACUGGGACUGAGACACGGCCCAGACUCCUACGGGAGGAAGCAGUGGGGAAUUUUGGACAAUGGGCGAAAGCCUGAUCCAGCCAUGCCGCGUGCAGGAUGAAGGCCUUCGGGUUGUAAACUGCUUUUGUACGGAACGAAAAGACUCUUUCUAAUAAAGAGGGUCCAUGACGGUACCGUAAGAAUAAGCACCGGCUAACUACGUGCCAGCCGCCGCGGUAAAAC
rnacentral:rRNA from 1 species